GUCUAAGCAGUGAGAUUGAGUGUUAGGCAAAUCCGGCACUCUUAAGAUUGAGCUGUGAUGGGGAGAGGAAAUUGUUUCCUCGAGUCGUUGAUUUCACACUGCCGAGAAAAGCCUCUAGAUAGAGAUUAGGUGCCCGUACCGCAAACCGACACAGGUAGUCAAGAUGAGAAUUCUAAGGUGAGCGAGCGAACUCUCGUUAAGGAACUCGGCAAAAUGACCCCGUAACUUCGGGAGAAGGGGUGCUCUUUAGGGUGCAAGCCCAGAAGAGCCGCAGUGAAUAGGCCCAAGCGACUGUUUAUCAAAAACACAGGUCUCUGCUAAACCGUAAGGUGAUGUAUAGGGGCUGACGCCUGCCCGGUGCUGGAAGGUUAAGAGGAGUGGUUAGCUUCUGCGAAGCUACGAAUCGAAGCCCCAGUAAACGGCGGCCGUAACUAUAACGGUCCUAAGGUAGCGAAAUUCCUUGUCGGGUAAGUUCCGACCCGCACGAAAGGCGUAACGAUUUGGGCACUGUCUCAACGAGAGACUCGGUGAAAUCAUAGUA
rnacentral:rRNA from 1 species